UACGUAGGGUGCAAGCGUUAAUCGGAAUUACUGGGCGUAAAGCGUGCGCAGGCGGUUGGAUAAGUCUGAUGUGAAAGCCCCGGGCUCAACCUGGGAACGGCAUUGGAGACUGUCCGGCUAGAGUACGUCAGAGGGGGGUGGAAUUCCACGUGUAGCAGUGAAAUGCGUAGAGAUGUGGAGGAACACCGAUGGCGAAGGCAGCCCCCUGGGAUGAUACUGACGCUCAUGCACGAAAGCGUGGGGAGCAAACAGGAUUAGAUACCCUGGUAGUCCACGCCCUAAACGAUGUCGACUAGUUGUUGGGGGUUGAAAUCCCUGGUAACGCAGCUAACGCGUGAAGUCGACCGCCUGGGGAGUACGGCCGCAAGGUUAAAACUCAAAG
rnacentral:rRNA from 1 species